ensembl:lncRNA
AUCCCAUUCAAAUGGACUCGCUCUGAAUGUCACUGCAAAUUUCACUUCUGUUGAGAUGGUUUUAUCCAAAGGGCAGGAAUGCAUCUGGAGGGGACUUGUGGGAGGAGAUCCUGUGCUCUGCUGGCCCAUCUCUCUUGGCUAACCUCCACAAAACCUCUGCAGUUCCUUCUGCCCACAUACACUGCUGAGAGAAGAGAAGCCUCCGCUCGGGAGGAUUUAGCAUUCUGAUUUUCCUGGAAAGAAGAUUCCCAGCACAUAAGAGGGUUUACAGAGCACGCUCUGAUGCUUCUUCCAAAAAAUUCCAUGCAGGCUGGGUGAGAUAUUUUGGACAGAGAAUGAUGCUGAGAAGACGCACCAUUGGCACCUUGGACCUGGGCAUCCCGGAGGCUCCAGAGCAGAGAGAUCUGUGCCAGCUCUGCAGGAACCUGGCUCAUACUUGAAAGUAGGAGCAGCCAUUCCCAUUGCUCUGGGUAACACGUGGUUUCCUCUCACGCUGCUGGUGGCACUCAGGUUGCCUGGAACUGGGGAAGAAUUAACAGUAAGUGACUGGGAAGUGAGGGUUGGAGCCUCUCUGAGAGAGAGAUCUGCAGAAAUCUCUGCAGGGAGGGGAGAUCUGCAGAAUUAUGCUCUUAACCGCCUUAGCUGCCCCUUUGAGGCUUGCAGGUUUUCCUUGGGGUAUGGCCAAGUAUUUCCACGGGAUGCUGCAAUGUGGCUGAUGGAAAUCCAUACUGUCACACUUCGUUAAAGGCUGUCCAGGGACAGGCAUGGGGAGAAAAAGCUAGGCUGACUGCAAAUGCCUCGUUUCCUUCAGAAAUCAGUCUAGAAUUCUCCCUGGCGCAUACAGGCUGACUGUGAAGAGCUCAGGGUGUUUUCAGGGCUGUUUGUUAGCUGUGGGCUGGCAGUACAUGCUGUGAGAGCCCCUUUGUAAGGUUGCAGACCACCUGUCCCCUGCAAGAGGUACCACCACCACCUUGUACACUGAUGUGUGAUGCUUUAUUUCUGUACUCCACAGAAACACAGAAAUUGGAUGUUUAGCUUACUGACAAGGGCAAGUUGUGAUAUACUGCACUUUUCAAGUGUUUAUUCCCCUGGUCUCGUCUGCAAGCCAUGAAGGCAGGAAUCAUGCCAGUGCUCACCAAACAACAUCUGAAUUCUCCAUACAACUCUGCUUUGCUGUGGUGUUUAAUUACCCUCAGAAGUUGUUCCUGGGCGUGCAUGUGUGACUAAAACAGCUACCAUUAAAGACAAGUUCUGCAUUGCAUUACUGGACUAAUAUUGCUGAGAAUAAUGUGACCAGAAUAGCUACUCGUGCCUCAAGGCCAGAAAUGAUCCAUGCCAAGCCCACCUCCAUCCCUCCCCCUGUAUUGCCUCAUCUGUGCUGACAUUUCCUUGUGAAUAUUUAAGCAUCCUUAAUAUAGCACUGUCAUCGGAGCUGACGACAGCGAUCCCCAGAUCUCCCUUGGCAGUGGACUAAUUGUCUAAGUGCUCUUGCUGUUGGAGAGGAGCACUGACAGAUUAACUCAGACCCUGUAAGCAAAAAGCUCUCUUCUUCCUUUCAAUAAAAUCCCUGUCUGCAUCCGUGGCUGAAAGCACAAAAGCUCAGCACUGAGACGUACCUACUGCCUUUAAGGAUAAAUCAAACCAACUCUGCGCCGUCGCUUCCUGUAAGCAUUACAGCCCCAGAGAAACGCACCCUCACCGUUACGAGGGAAGACACCCUCUGCCUCUCCCACACCAAAUCCCAGCAGCAGUGCUUUGCCAAAGAGCCAAAAAGACUAAGUGCUGAGCUGCACAGAAAGGGAUGGAUGUGGAUGACUCGCCCUGAAACGGAAGACCCCAUCAAGCCAUGACACAUUGCAGGAUGGACUGAGCAAAUCAUAGGCUGUGUUUGUCAUAGAAUCAUUAAGGCUGGAAAAGACCUCCAAGAUCACCAAGUCCAACCUCAGCCCACCCCACCAUGCCCAUCACCACGUCCCUCAGUGCCACAUCUCCAUGGUUCUGGAGCACCUCCAGGGAUGGUGAUCCCACCACCACUCCCUGGGCAGCCCUGUGCCAGUACACCAUCACUCUUCCUGAGAAGUUUUCCCCAGUAUCCAACCUGAACCUAUGCUGGCACUUGAGGCCAUUCCUCUCAUCCUGUUGCUUCUUGCCUCCAACCUGGAUAAAGAACCAAUGGUCCCAUUACCCACUGCCAUUUUGGAUGGUCCUGUGUGGGGCCAGGAGCUGGACUCGAUGAUCCUCAUGGGUCCCUUCCAGCUCGGGAUAUUCUAUGGUUCUAUGAUUCUACCCUGUAGAGAUUAAGGUGCUUCCUGAAUAACGGGGCAUUGCUCUGCCUGAGCAAAGAGGACGACAACAGAAAGUUUCAGCUACAGAAACGAUCACAGCCACUGUUUCCAAAUCAUGGCUGAAGGAGUUUAAAAUAACAACAAAGAAUAGAAAACUGCUUUUGAGAGACAAAGUAAGUUUCUCUACAGCACUAACAGACAUGAAAUCGUAAUUUUCUUCAUUAACUCAUCUUGCUGUAGAUGAAAUGGGGUUUCAGAGGGAAUUCAGAAAUCAUUUCUUCCACAUGAAGAGUUUGUACACUUAAUUUGUUGCAGUAAACCACCAUUCUGCAUGCUGAGGACCUCUGUGUUAGCAGAUGAUGAAACAGCAUCUGCCUUAACUGUUCUUUUCUCCAUUUAACUGGUAAAGUAUUUCCAUCUCAGUGAUGAGAUGAAAAACACAGAGGAGAAAAUCACAGAAGAAAAGAAAUUCACAGUUUUCUAGCCAGAGCAUUCAAGUGGAAUAGCUAAUAUUGCCAGCUUCAGCACAAAGCAAAAUAAUGGGGAAUAUUUUUACACAACUUAUUACAAUGAACAGAUGCAGCACGAGCAUUUCGAAGGCACGCAUUGCAUGCAAGCAGGAUUUCAAAGCAACGUAAGGGACUUACAGAUUCAGAGAUAUAUCUUUUUCAUUACCCCAAACACUACACUUGUCUUCAAUCUAAAAACAAACAUUGACAAUGGAAGAAUUUAUAGGCUCAGGAGUCUGAAAUGUGGCUCUGGUUUCAUAGAUGGGUGCUUGGAAGAAGGUAAUUUGAAACGAUAGACUCAUAAUUGUGCCCAGCGUUGGAGCUGCACACUGAUAGCAGAGGCUGCAGAAGCUCCCUUCAACAACACAUCCAUGAGCCACAACUUGCAGAGAACAGGAAUGUGAGGUAACAUGUGUCAGCUGGCUGCUCGGAACCCAUCACGUAAAGGAGGAAAAGCCCAACAGAAAUGCAACUGGAUACAAUAAAUACUGUGCUUGUGAGUUUGGGCAUUCAGACACACUGUGAGUCAACUUUGAAAAAGCAACUGAACAGAACACAUCACCUUUGCAUUCUCACCUAGUGAGGGCUCCUAAUGCCAUGACAUGCCCACACACAGCGCUGCCACCCAACAGGUGGGGUGCACUUUGUCCCCCCAAACACAUGGAUGUGGAUUGCACACAGAGAAACUUAAGCACAACACCUCCAAAUUGCACUGUGCUCAAAGGAGCCCAAGCAUGCAUGACUCUUGCUGGGGUCAGAAACACCAGCAGGACCUCCUGCCUCUGUCUCUCUGCAGAUUUCUGCUGCAGCUCCAUUGCUCAGCAAUGUGGUCUCUUAGCACACUUUCCCUUUUUCCACACUCGUUCACUCAGGCAGACAGCCAACUAUAAAGCAUUCGCUGAACUCGUCCACAACACCUUGGUAACAACUGAAGCUGACCCCUGAGAACAGGGAAUCACCAACGCCAUUAAGGAGAUUUCACGUGCUUCGUUGUCAUUUCUGAGGAUGAAGCUGAGCUGCCUGUUCAGAUGGGUACUAUGAUGGGGUCACACAUAGUCCUGCAGUCACUCUUCCCCGAUAACGUGACAAUGUCACAUCCAUGCAGUCAAAGAUUAUGUUGCCUUUUGUGAUGUCUUACCCUGGUCCAAGCACAACAAGAAAAAAAGUUGCCUGUUUUGCACAUCACUGGCUAUUAGGCUAUGUCUGGUUACAUCGCAUCAGUUGACACGACAUAAAACAAUGUAAGCAGAUCAGAUGUGACAUAAAUGUCACGUUGCAUCAGGUUUUAAAGAAAUUGGCAGCUAUUACACGACGGAUGAAAAAUGCCAAGAGACGCUCAGCCAUCAUACAGGUAGACCUUCAAGAUAAAGUGAUGUUACCUACCAAACAUAGCCCACAGCUUUGUAUUCUAAUCAUAGAUUCAUGCAGGUUGGAAAAGACCUCUAAGAUCAUCCAGUCUGAUCGUUCACCCACCACCAACAUUGCUCACUGCACCAUGUCUCUCAGUGCCACAUCUACACGUUGCUUGAACACCUCCAGGAACAGUGACCGCACCACCUCCCUGGGCAGCUGUGCCACUGCAUCACCACUCCUUUGGCAAAGAAAUUUUCCCUAACAUCCAACCUGAACCUCCCCUGGUGCAACCUGAGGCCAUUCCCUCUCAUCCCAUCAAAAUGACACAUUAUCAGCUUAUGAAAUGAUCACUUUUACUCUGUGUUAUGCUCCUAUUCCUCUCAAGAAGACGCAGACGUGGUGACCAUUAUCCCUUAUAAAGCACCCAUAAGCAGCAAAUUCACCGACCGAAAAAUAGACAAAACAUGGAGCCUGACUCAAAAAAACACUGAAAUCAAUAACAGGCUAUCUAUUGACUCAAACAGGAAAUGGAUCAGCACCUCUAUGCCUCAGUAAAUAUUUUUACUAUACAACUAAUUUCCCAUUUGAAGGAAAAGCAUCAUUUUUUGUUGGUCAGUGGGAAUAAAGGAGCAAAACAAAUUUAUGUAACAGAGCAAACAGAUUACAAAAGAGAGGUAGCACUUACGUAAGGUAUCAGUGCUAAUGCCAGGCUUGCUUUUAUCAACGUUAUCUUCAUUUUCCACUCAAACAGAAGAGAGUAAAUGAGAGAGCAAGCCUGAUGUUUGCAGCAGCAGUAGUGACAUGGCUUAUGUACGUGCUCCUCCUACCCACUGCUGGCAGAGCAAACGUGGUGCCUGGGCAUCACAGAGCCCUCUGGACACUGAACACUUUCUCACCCUGCUUCUGGAGCGAAAACAGCUUAGGAACCUCUGCAAAAACAGAAAAUGGGCAGCAUCAGUAUUGCCUGCAUGACUUGCACAGCACCUGCACACUGCACGGAGCUGCAGCAGCAAGGGGAGGGCACGACAUACCUGAGGGAGUCUGCUCUCCAAAAUGCAUCUCCUGGAUGAUUUUCUUACACACUGUUUUUCCCUCCUCACGUAGCAUGUGUACACCAGAAACGAUUUCAAUGAUGAAUCAGGCAGCUUACCUGUGGACUAAGACUCCAACUGUAAAGUGAUUCAUCUUAAAACCAGUUUAUAAAUGAGAAACAGACAUCUCGAGGCUGGUAACCUUUCAGAAACACCAUGGUGACAGAUUCUGCCUGACAGAUUUGAUAUGAAUUCUGCCCAUUGUAUAAAUAUUAAUAGCUCUGACGCUUAGCAUUGCAGACUUAAUCUUCUCAGGUGUAUUUGCAGCAAUAGAGCCUGACCCAGCACGGGAAAGAUGCAGUGCAGUGCUCAAGGUGUUAUUUAGAGUCAUUAGUCCUUGACAGGAAAAAGUUAAUUGACAAGCAUUCACAAACGUUGCAUACUUGAACAUCUCAGAGGAAUUGCCCAAUUAAUAUACUGUCAAACAAGCUGAUUUGGGAUCAUUAAGAACCUCUGGCACGGCGAAGGCACACAGGCAGAGCAGGAGGAGUGCGGUCACGUCACUCUCAUUGUGAUGGGGAAAAUGAAGCACCCUGGCAUCCCUGCUGUCAGGUUGGACAUUAGGAAAAGCUUCUCUGAAAGAGUGGUGAGGCAUUGGCACAGGCUGCUCAGGGCGGGGGUGAAGUCACCAUCCCUGGAGGUGUUUAGAAACCAUGGAGAUGUGGCAGUGAGAGACAUGGCUUCAUGGGUAGUCAUGGUGGUAGGUGGACGAUUGGACUAGAGGACCUUAGAGGUCUUUUCCAACCUUAGCGAUUCAAUGAUUCACAUUUCCUAUUGACGCCCUGGAGAGCCCUGUGAGCAGGGCAAGAGGGAAGCAGAGAAGAGCAGGAUUUAAGGUGGAGUGUUCAUAAUGAGGUCUUCCGAGCAGCUCUCAAUGAAAGUCUGCAUCAGUAGAGGCUCAGAGCCCAUCUCCACCAGCCAAAGGCAGACUUUACAGCUCCUUUUGUUCAACGUCUAAGUUAACUGUGCAAAAGAUGUACAAUACUGAGAAAGAGCCAAUUGUACUGAAACUAUGAAGGAUUAAGGAGGCAAGGUGGGAUAAGUAUAUUAAAAAAUCUGUACCUCGGUUGGCUUUGUUUUGUUCUUCUUCUGAACAGCUCCUCUUUGUGCCUUCUGCCUGUGUGGACAAAUUUUGAACAAUUUAGCUGAUGAACAGUCAUUCCCACUUUUAAAAUAAAACAAUUUUACAACUAAUUGUUAAUGAGCUACCUUGUAAUUUUUCUAUUUUGAGCCAGAGGCGCUUUGAGUCAGGCCUGCCAAACCAAAUUCUUUGACCCAAUUUCUAAGAAUAAAUUCCCUCCUGAAAACUGAACGCACAUCUUCACCAAUCCAUAUUGUCCAGCUUGCUAAAACUGGGUUUUUAUAAU